AAUAGAUACCCAGGUAGUCCACGCCGUAAAUGAUGAGUGCUAAGUGUUGGGGGGUUUCCGCCCCUCAGUGCUGCAGCUAACGCAUUAAGCACUCCGCCUGGGGAGUACGGUCGCAAGACUGAAACUCAAAGGAAUUGACGGGGGCCCGCACAAGCGGUGGAGCAUGUGGUUUAAUUCGAAGCAACGCGAAGAACCUUACCAGGUCUUGACAUCCCGGUGACCACUAUGGAGACAUAGUUUCCCCUUCGGGGGCAACGGUGACAGGUGGUGCAUGGUUGUCGUCAGCUCGUGUCGUGAGAUGUUGGGUUAAGUCCCGCAACGAGCGCAACCCUUAUUCUUAGUUGCCAUCAUUCAGUUGGGCACUCUAAGGAGACUGCCGGUGAUAAACCGGAGGAAGGUGGGGAUGACGUCAAAUCAUCAUGCCCCUUAUGACCUGGGCUACACACGUGCUACAAUGGACGGUACAAACGGUUGCCAACCCGCGAGGGGGAGCUAAUCCGAUAAAACCGUUCUCAGUUCGGAUUGUAGGCUGCAACUCGCCUAC
rnacentral:rRNA from 1 species